rnacentral:rRNA from 1 species
GACGAACGCUGGCGGCGUGCUUAACACAUGCAAGUCGAACGCGCUUGGCCUCUUUGGGGUGGGUGAGUGGCGAACGGGUGAGUAACACGUGGGUGGACCUGCCUUGAGCUCUGGGAGUAAGCCUGGGAAGGCUGGGUCGUAAUACCGGAUAUGACCUGCCUGUGCAUGGGGGUGGGUGGAAAGUUUUUUCGGCUUUGAGAUGGGCCCGCGGCCUAUCAGCUUGUUGGUGGGGUGAUGGCCUACCAAGGCGA